UUUUUUUUUUUUUUUAGGCUGGACAUAAUUUUGUCAUCAGUGUGCAAAAUAUAUUAUGGUAUGAAAAAUGAUGAAAUUUUUUCUUUUGUGAAUGGUUAAUUAUAUUAUCUCUCUUUUUCACUUGGGUUUUGGUUAGUCUGCAAACUUGGAGGGUGGGAUGUGUUUUUCACAAUGAGUUUGGCUUGAUCUGCAAUUUGACUAGGUUAACAGGAUUUGAGGUUAUGGUUAACGAUGAUGGAGGUCCACUAGUGGCUAUGGUGAUGGUUGGGAGCCUGAGAUGAGAUACGGAACUGUUGGGUUUUUUUUAUCUUCACAAGUUUCUUUAUUUGUAAUUUUAUUUUAAUUCAAUUAUAUUUUUGUCCUUUUAUUUUCCAAAAUAAAUAAACUUAAUUUUGACCAAUUUUAUUUAACAGAAGACUAACGGAACUUUGAAUUUGGACCUUAAUUGCUAACAGAGCUCACCAUGAGGGUUUAAUUAAUAGAUUUUUCACCACAAGGGUUACAUUAAAAGUGGUGUGUCACCACAGGGACUACAAAAAAAAUUUGGCCUAAAUUAAAUUACCAUUAUGGUUGUGUUUGCCGAACUUGUAAGUAUUGAAACUGAACUUAAUAAAUUCAACAAAAUUUCAACAUAUCGUGUCUUAUAAGUCCCAUCCAGAGAAGCGAGACUCUACAAAACUUCGACUCAAUGCACGUAUUUUUCCGAAAUCAAGCAACUAUUUCUAAGCUCUCUCCAAUAUAUACACAUUGUCAUUUUUCAAAAAGUAAUAACAAAAAAAAAUACAUGGAAAGAUUUAUUGCAGCAUUAAGUCCAAACAUUCACAAGAUCAGAGAGAAUUUUUGAGGAACAAGAUCAAGAAAACAAUAAUAUGAACACAUACAAUGUUUUUUUAAAUCUAAUCCUUGCCUAUACCAAGACCCCGGUUACCUUCGGUACCAGUCCAAAAAUGAAUAGAAAGAGCGAACGCAUCACGUUCAUCUUCAACUGCGGUUCACUAAAACCCUGCUUUUUUCGUUUUCACGUCUAGAGGUUAAAUUACAUGACAAGACGCUAGAAGCUUAGCCCAUUUUCCUGUAGACAAAAACCAAAAUUGUACACGCAUUCCUACUUUCCGUCUUAUAGAUCCACAGUCGAUACUUUCUUAGUUAGAGCAACAAGUUCUCUUGUUCAUGUCACCUGAAAUAUUUCCAACAUUGAUGGUAGUUCCUUGAGGGAGUCCAGUUGAAACUGCCUCCUGUGCUGCUAGUGCCUUCUUGCUUAUUAUGUGAUAAAUGUCCAACAAAAUGGUCUGAAACGCAUUCUCGACAUUGAAGGCCUCCAAUGCUGAAGUUUCGAGGAACGAGAGGCCUUCCUUCUCGGCCAAGGUUUGAGCAUCAUCUGCUGGAACUGCUCUCAAGUGAUUCAAGUCAGAUUUGUUUCCGGCCAUCAUUAUAACAAUGUUAGAAUCUGCAUGGUCUCUUAGUUCGCGGAGCCACCUCUGCACGUUGUCAAAUGUUUGCCUCUUGGUUAUGUCAUACACCAUUAAGGCACCAACAGCCCCUCUGUAGUAAGCACUCGUUAUGGCUCGGUACCUCUCUUGACCUGCCGUGUCCCAUAUUUGUGCUUUCACAGUCUUCCCCUCUAUCUGCAUCAGAAUAAAAGGUUAUAUCUUGAUGAGCAAGCAGCUAUUCCUGAAUGUAUUGCUUUUCGGUGUUUAAUAAAAAGCUUGCUUAACAAAUAAAAAAAAAAAGAAAAAAAAAAGAAGCAAAAGCAAGUAAUGAAUCGCUUCGAUUUCAGAUUAGAAGGGUUUUUUUAAUAAUCACCGAUUAUAAUUGUUUUUUUAGUAAUCACCGAUUAUAAUUGUUUUUCACUCAAAAUUCACUCCACAUUAUUGUUUCCAUAUCUUCUGUCAAAAACCCGUAAAAAUGCUUGACCUGUAAGGGUAAAAUUGUAAUCACCGAUCAUAAUCAUUAUGGAAAUAAUUAGGGUUUGUUGAGAUUGAACAUCCAUCCAAAAAAUUCCCAUGAUCAUCUCUACAACCAGAGCAAAAACCAGUUCUUCAUUUACAACCCAUUCCCACCACAACCUAAUCAAUUAUAUUAUCAGCCAAAAGACUAAUGAUCCAUCCAAUCCCACCACUACGCCCAAAUUCAGGAAGAAAAAGCCAAAAAAACCAAGGAAAAAAGAAAAAAAAAAUCAAACUCUGCAAAUUUCUCUCCUAUCCACCAUCGGUCUUAAGCCUCUGCUUCGCAAAUUUCUCCAACCUACAAUCCUUCAUCUCCAUUUUACCAAAUAUCCAUCUCCUUUUUUCACAUGGACGCCACAUAUGCAUUUUUUAAUCCACGUCAGCAUUUUGACAGCUAUUUGACCGAAGAAACGCAAACGGAGUAAAAUGUAGCGAAUUUUGAGUUUGAUGACUUUUGAUUUACAGGGACAAAGUACGAUCAAAAUCAAGUUACAUAGGAUGUAGCUAAAAAUAAGCCAAUAAAAAUGACAAUCCCUUCUGAAGCUCUCUGCUAUGCACAACAAGAGAAGCCCCGCACAGAGCUCUGCCACUAACAAUUCAAUUAUAUCUUGAAACCGGCCACGUUGGUAUUGUAACACGGUAGGGUUGGAUAGAUUUUAGAACCAAAUGUUACCAAACAAUAUUCUGCAGAAUGGCAGUGUUCUACGUAGAUUGUCCAUGGCACGGACGUAAACUGGAUCAUAACGUAGGGCAACACUGGUACUAUACCUUAAAGAGUAUCACAAGCUAUAAACAAAUUUGAUAUACACGAAGGGUAACUAAAACUCAAUUCCAUUGUUUGGUAAGAACAACCACAAACAAAUUAGCAAAAACCGAAAUGGUUAUCAGAUGGAUGCUAAGGUUUUUGUACUACGUGAAACUUUGCCUCGAGAAAUCGAAACAACUAUCAGGAGACAAUUAUACGGAUUUCCUACAAUUCUAUAAAUAAUGUAUUCUUUCACCAUUGUUUCAAUUCAAACAAAAAUUAAAGAACAGAAAAGCUAGAAGCAGGAAAAUUGCAACUGAUCAAUAUUUUCCAAACAAAACCAACCUGCAAUGUCCUAGUUGCAAAUUCAACUCCAAUGGUGGACUUAGACUCCAAAGAAAACUCAUUCCUCGUAAACCUCGAAAGAAUGUUCGAUUUUCCGACACCCGAAUCUCCAAUCAAUACAAUCUUGAAGAGGUAAUCGUAUUCGUGAUCCACCUUGUACGCCAUACGUUCUACUCCUCACACACACACCCCACAACACCUGCCCAGAUCCAGAAUUCACCAAACAAAAAGCUUUUAGCAGUCAAAAAACCAAAAAAAUAAACCCAUUCUCUUGUUUUGACAGAAGGGAUGAGAAAAGUGCUGAUCAGAGAGCAUUUUCUUUACCUACGGUUUCUUUCCAAUGUGAUUUUCCCGAGAAACAAACGGAAAUUGGGUAAUCAUAAAACAAUGGCGCGUAGAAUGGUGAUUAACAAAAUAGAGGAUUUUUUGAAUGUUGGGUUUUGUUGUGUUUGCAUUGAAGUUUGUGGAAACAGAGGAGAGGAGAAAAGAAGAAGAAAAAGAUGGCGUUGUACAAAGUUAGAAACAGAACAACGGAUGAAAAUGCACUUAAAACGGCCUUUCAAGAGGGAAACGAUGCGCCGAAUUCGGAGUCUGUGUAAAGUAAACGACCUUUCAUAAGACAUGCCACAUAAAAUUUAAGCCCAUUCUCAAUGUGGGCUUAGGGCAUAUGUUUGUAACCCACUGAAAAGCUCCGUUAGGUUUCCUAUCACACACAUUAUUUAUCUCUCUACACACUUAUGUCAUGUAGUCAUGUUUAAUCAUAUCGGUUGACUAUUGAUUUUAUCAACUUCGGUGACUAAAAAUUAAGAAAUGAGUGCAAUUAUCAUUUCUAACUGUUUUAAAAUGUUAGGAUGAUUCAUAAACAAAUUGGAAGUUCAAAAGAUAAGUCGGAAUGAGCCCCUAAAUUCAAAGGGCAUUUGCCAUGUCUCUCAGUUUUGUGAAUCAUUAAAAGUGACAUUAUCUAUCCUUACAUAUUUUGUCUUUGCUGCACAAAGUGACUACUACUACCUACCACUACAAACCUAACCUCUUACACCACCAUUGUUACCACCACGCCACCACCACGACCAUAACACACAGGCGUCACCACUGCCACCACUUACCUCUGUAGCCCAACCACCACACCCCUUAAUCAGUAGCACCAUCACCACUAUCACAACCUUUGUCCUAGCCACCGUUGUCGACGUCAUCACACAAAUUAUCAUGUCCAUUUUUGUUAUUAUAUACAAUUAUAUCCUUUUACAUUAAAUUUUACCAAAAAUGCUUUUACAAUGCUUUUCAUACUCACAACACUUAUAAAAAUACAGUUAUCAAACGCUCAACUGCUUUAUUUUGUAGCUGAUUAUUCUUAAAGCACAACAUAAACAGUUUUUUGUUUUAAAAGCAUAUUACUCCCCAACUGGCCCUAAGUCCAUAAAUGAGUCAUCCAAAGCAAAACCGGUCUUGAGUUUUUUGGUGCCCAGAAAAGGAUCAGAAGGUGCCUUUUCUUAAUACACAGGUAUAUAUUAAAAAUAAAUAUUUAAAAAGGGUGGGCCAAGCCCUUCAUACAUAUUAUAUUACUCAAGUGCAAAGGUAAACGUUCAUAGCCACUUUAAACUAUAAUCAUUAAGGUUAUCUCCAACUGAAUGCUGGCCAAAUGGCUUGUUUUAGUCAUCUGACCCUCCAAGAAAUUAAUAUUUUAAUGAACUGUGCAUGAUCAUAUUUCUUACCAUCUCCAACCGAGGGCCAAACAUAAUUUAUUAUUUAAAUUUAAAAACUACAACUUAAAUUAAAAAACUACAACUAAAAUUUAAAAAAUACAACUUAUAUAUUUCAAGUCAAAUGUGAGAGGUUUUAUUUAGAGUAAAAAAAAAGAAGAGGAAAUAAGUGGGAGAGGAAGUAGGAGAAACUAAAAAUGUGGAAGUGGGUGGGAGAGGAAGUAUAAAAGUAUAAAAAAAAAUGGAAGUGGGUGGGAGUCCCACAUCGGUUGUGAGAAAAAUUUGAGCAAGUUCCAAAGCUUAUAAAAAGAACACCUAAACAUUCAAUGAAACAUACUUUCUGGGCCUAUAAUUGAAUAUAUUUUAAAAAAAAAAUUUGGCCAACAAAAAAAAAAUUCAAAUAACUGUUAAAAAAAAAAAAACGGCUAGUUGACAGUUGCUUUUGAAUUCCAGCCCGGCCUGGGGCCGGCUGGUUGGCCCUUUGGCCCUUUUUUAUCUAGUGGGGCCCACAAGCCUUUUGGCCUAGUCCUUGGUUGGAGACGAUUUUAAGGCUAUUUUCGACCCUCUGACCAUCUAGAUCUUUUGGUUGGAGAUAGCCUGACAGAAAAAAAAUUGAACAUUUUAUGAGACUUCUCUCUCCGAAGAGGUCCAAUAUUUAAGUACUAGCAAACUUAUUCGGUUCUUUAAUUAUCAUCACAUUAAAUGCCUAGAAAGGUUUUGCCCAACUCAAUCAACACGAGUCAACAAAUUUCAAGAAUAGUAUCAAGUAUAAAGAGAAAUUAGAAGCCCCUGCAUUUUUAAAUACAUUUUAGAUCAAACAUUGGUUCUUCUCUAAGAUUUGAUUAAGAAGCUUUGACCAAUUGCCACAUCAACAUUUUUCUAUUUUUUAAAUUACAUAUAAUUUGUUUAAAGGCAUCUUCACUUCACCUUGUAACUAAUUGCUUACAAUAUAGGAAAUUUUAUUUUCCUGGUCCUUUAAACUCCUACGUUUUAAUGACUCUUUUGAUAUAAAAAAAAAUAAUUAAUUAAAGUAACUUAAACUUUUACAUUGUUAAACGACUCUUUCUAUAUAUAAAAAAAAAGGGUUGUUGAUGCACAAAACUGUAGGUCUUGGAACAACGUAAAUCUGACCGUGAAUCUGCAAGAAAGUAAAUAACACAAUAUGUAUCGUGGUUCACCCCAAUGUUUGGGUUACGUCCACAUUGAUAUUGUAUUGCUGAGAGGAUUGUGAUGGAAAGAGUGUGAGGAUCCUCAUGGCCUAGGAAUUGGCCUCCCCUAAUGGGGAGAGUGAAGAGUCAUUUUAUAGAAUAAGGGCUCCUCACUUAUUACAUGUUUGCCCAUUCCUUUAUUACAUAAUUACAUUUGAGUCAUCCAAGUAUUUAUACGAGAUCUAAAUACGGAUGCCCUAAGUAUGGUACAAACAGUAGUCCCCCAAGUCUUCAGUUAAGAGAGUCUUUUAGCUGGAGACUUGAAAUUCAGUUCAUGUGUGGGUCGAAGUAACUAGAUGUCGUCUAGAACUGAUACUCGAUAUGAGGCGGUGCCCAAUCUGAAAUGAUGCUCAACUCGAAGUAGCACAUGUUGCGAGGCUGCUCUGCUUGUGGCUUAUGUUGCCUUGGUUGACUCGGCUUGUGGCGUUUGAAGAUGAGGGAGUCCAUUUUAUAAAAUAAGGGUUUGCUCCUCAAUACAUAAAUGAUGGGCUAGGAGUGAUACACGCGGCGAGGCGAUUGCUCAGCGGGCGGCGAUGCUCUCUAAUGAAGGUGAGGGAGUCCCUUUUAUAAAAUAAGGGUUCGCUCCUCAAUACAUAAGUGAUGGGCUAAGUCCCCUAAGUAUUUUUUAUGAGGCCCAAUAUAUGGUACAUAGUGUAGUCCCCCAAAUCUUCGGUCAAUAGAGUCUGUUGGCUGGAGACUUCAAAUUGAAUCCAUGUAUGGGCCGAAGUGGCAGUUGUUCGAAUACGGUAUUUGUAUAUCCUGCAUUGUAGAUUUGUAGGUGAAGCUUUGCAAGUGAAGCUUUGAAGCCAGAGCUCUGUAAAUGAAGCUUUCGAAGCUGGAGCUUUUGUAAAUGAAGCUUUUGAAGCUAGAGUUCUGUAAAUGAAGUUUUCAAAGUUAGAACUCUGUAAAUGAAGCUUUUGAAGCUAGAUUGACAUGAGUGAUGCUCAUGAAUGUUUAUGUUGAUUGACAUGAGUGAUGCUCAUGGAUGUUGACAUGAGGGAUGCUCAUGAAUGUUAACAUGAGUGAUGCUCAUAAAUGUUGACAUGAAUGAUGGUCAUGAAUGUUUAUGUAUGAUUGACAUGAGUGAUGCUCAUGAAUGUUUAUGUAUGAUUGACAUGAGUAAUGCUCAUGUAUAAUUUUGAAGUACUGGACGUACUUUUGAUCACCUGGUUGGUGAUAAUAGCAGCAGGGUGCCGAAUAAUUUUGGAGUACUGGACGUACUUUUAAUCACCUGGUUUGUGAUAAUUGCGGUAGGGUGCCAAUUAAAUUUGGAGUACUGGGCGUACUUUUGAUCACCUGGUUAGUGAUAAUAGUGGCAGGCUGCAGAAUAAUUUUGGAAUACUGGACGUACUUUUGAUCACCUGGUUGGUGGUAAUAGCGGCAGACUGCCGAAUAAAUUUUUGUAGUACUGAACGUACUUUUGAUCACCUGGUUUGUGGUAAUAGAGGGCAUGGCUCUUUUGGGCAUAUGAGCCUUCACCCUUCACACAACAUUCCAGCCCAUUAUUUUGGGCUUGCCGUUUUUUUUUAUAUUUUUUAUUACCCUCUGAUAGGGUUUAUACAGAUGUUUUCGAAAGAUAAGAAAAAUAAUUAUAUGUUUUCCGUAUGUUGAUGGGCAUCUUCUAGUCUAACAAAGUGGAGACGGGAAACCUUGGUGGGUAUCUUCUUAUUUUUUAUCAUGUUAUCCCGUGGGAUAGUAGAGUAGUGGAAUAGUGGAGCAUCUUCUUUUCGGCUUUUCCUUUUUUGCUUUCUUUUGCUUUUACUUUCUCUUUUCUGCUUUUGUUUCUCAUGUGCUCCCGAGGAGAGCCUCCCUUUUUCUUUUUCUUUUGCUUUUGUUUCUCGCAACUCACUUGAUUGCUUUUGCCUUUCUUCUACAUCUUUUCUGCUUUGCUUUUGUUUUCCCAUGUGCUCUCACAGAGAAAUUGAAGAGAGAGAGAGAGAGAUAGAGAGAGAACAGAUCUGCAGUGGUUUCUCUCUAAGAAUCGAACCAGGCCCCUUUUUAAUCCUCCUGCCUGAUUUGUAUUAAGAAAUGAAUAAGCUUCACUUUUCCAGAGAAAGGAAUAAGCUUCAAUUUAUAUGGUCUUCGUGGGCAACGUGAUGAGAGGCGGUAAUUUGAAGAGAAGGGAAAAAGCUUCACUUCCAAAUCUCCCAUUUGUAUCAAAUAUGUCGAUCCAAUUUUAGGGUUUCAAAAUUCGUUCUCUCUCUCUGCGAUUCGAUUUAUGGGGUUUCUGAUUUCUCUCUGUGAUUAAUCAUGGCGACCAACAACAAGGAGAGCAAUGUUCAGGAGGAAUUGAGCCCUCUUCUGAGCAAGCAAUUCGAGGAGAACCAGAAGGAUGCUGAGAAGCCUGCCAAGGCCUCGCAGAAGAAAUCGCUGAUGGAUGUGGGGCAUGUGAAUGGAGGUGGUAAUGGGUGAAAGCAUAUCAAUGGUGUCUAGGAAUAUAGUAAAUGAGUACCUGGCCUAAGGUAAUUGGGAGUAGCCUUCCGGUGGGAGGUCCAUGACGGCUCCCACCUAAAGUACGAGAAGAAAAUGCACUGUUAUAUAUCAAUUUCCAUCUCCCUUGCAGUUUAUCAAGAUCAGUUGAGAGAUCCACUGGACCUCCAGCAGCUUUAAUCUCCUUGGCAGCAGCUUCUGUCUUUUGUAGAUCCUCUCCCGAUGUUGCAAGACCUCUAUUUAGCCCAGAAACAGCACUCAAUAGGUUGAGCUUUAAAGACACUACAAGUUCAAGGUUAGGCGUGGUUUUGCUUCUGGAAGAUGGCGACUAUGGUGGCGGCGGUUCGAGAACAGAACCUCGUCCACAGUUGCUCUCAGAGCAAAGCUUUUGGUGUGACGGCGAUUUGACAAAACAAAACAGAGGCGUUUUGGGCAGGGUGGUUUGCUUGGAAUAACAUAGUUUGCAGAAGAAGUAGAAGGUGAUGGAGAGAGCUCAGAGAAGCCAUGGCCACAGUCGGAUUUACGAUAUUGGUUAUGUGGUUAAGCCAUGUUCUGAAAAGCAUAAUGCUGACCAUGUUGCUGCCUCUCUGAAGCAGAAAUGCGCUCUCCUGACCUUGUGGCCCCACUAGGAGCCCAUUCCUUGGAUGGAAUAAGGGCACCCAUUUUUUGAGGAUCCAUGGACCUGACAUGUCUUGGGGCUGGAAAGGCUGCUGCAUGUGAUUCAUUUGAGUUUUGUAGGAGAAAAAAAGAGAGGGUAGCUUGUUUUUGGUUCUUGGUUUCUGCAGAUUCACGGUGGAGGUGAAAAAAUGAAAGAGAACCGACAUAACUUUUCAUGUCGAUUCCCACAGAUGGCGCCAAAUGUUGAUGCACAAAACCAGAGGUCUUGGAACAACGUAAAUCCUACUGUGAAUCUGCAAGAAAGUAAAUAACACAAGAUGUAUCGUGGUUCACCCUAACAUUUGGGCUACGUCCACACGGAUAUUGUAUUUCUGAGAGGAUUGUGAGGGAGAGAGUGUGAGGAUCCUCAUGGCCUAGGAAUUGGCCUCCCUUAUCUUUUAUAAAAUAAGGGGUCUUCACUUAUUACAUAUUUGACUCUUCUUUUAUUACAUAAUUACAUUUGAGUCCUCCAAGUAUUUAUACGAGAUCUAAAUACAGAUGCCCUAAGUAUGAUACAAACAAGGGUAAAGUACAAAAAACUACCUCAACUAUUAAUAUCACGAUACUUUCAUACCUCAUCUUUUAAAAUUGACAAUGUCAUACUUUAUCUUUAGAAUUUGGUCCAAUGUUAUAUUUUAUGUUACUUGGUCGUUUACUUUUCAAUAAAAUGCUAACGUGACUUGAUUCGGAGCCCAUUUUCUAUUAAAAAAUCAUUAAAAUAUUAUUAAAAACUAAAAAAAAUUAUUUAAUAUUUUUUAAAUAUUAAAAUAAUAAAAAAGUAAAAAAAAAAAAAAGAAAAGAAAACAACCCUAAGUUCGUCCCUCCCCCUUCCCCCUCCUCUCUUCUCCCCAUCUUCAUCUUCUUCCCCUCACCUGCAACCCCCAACAAAAAAAAAAAAAAAAAAAAAGAAAGAAAACAACCCUAAGUUCGUCCCUCCCCCUCCCUUCUCUUCUCCCCAUCUUCAUCUUCAUCUUCAUCUUCUUCCCCCCCUAAAAAAAAAACUCAGAUCUCGUCAGCGGGAAGAUGGGUGUGGAGAAGGUGAAGGAUGGGUGCGGAAUAUGAUGUGGAGAAUGGAUGAGAGUGGUGGAUUUGGGGUUAGGGUUGGGUUUAGGGGGGGGACGAACUGGGUUGGGUUGGGGGUUUUUUUUUUCGUUUCUUCUUCAUCUUCUUCCUCCUUCUUUCUAGGUUGCUGGGGGUUGGGGGGGCGAACUGGGUUGGGUUGGAAUAUUUUUUUUGCCCUUUUCUUCUUCUUCCUCCUUCUCCUUCUUCUUCCUCCUUCUCCUUCUUCUUCUUCUUCUUCGGGGGAGGGGGGUUGAUGGGUUUUCAAAUUUAUUUAUUUUUGGUUGAAGAUUAAGCAAGGAAGAAGAUGAAGAUGGGGAGAGAGAGGAGGCAAGGGACGAACAGAGGGAUUUUUAUUUUUUAUUUUUUACUUUUCUUUAUUAUUAAAAAAUAUUAAAUAAAUUUUUUUUAGUUUUUAAUAAUUUUUUAUUAAAAAAUGGGCUCCGAAUCAAGUCACGUCAGCAUUUAAUUGAAAAAUUAAAUGGCCAAGUAACAGAAGAUAUAACAUUGGACCAAAUUCUAAAGAUGAGGUAUGACAUUGUCAAUUUUAAAAGAUGAGGUAUGAAAGUGUCGUGACACCAAUUGAGGUAGUUUUUUGUACUUUACCCAAAAAAAUAAAUAAUUAAAGUAACUCCUUAUUAGACCAUCUCCAAUGGUGGGCUAAAUACUAAAUUAGCCCCCAAAUUCCCCCCCCCCCAAACAAUCUCCAACCCAUGCUAAAACAUUAGGCUAAAUGCCAAAUGUUAAAGUGGGCCAAAUACCCCCCAAAAUUUCCCCCAUGCGACUGGACUCGCUGGUAAUUGAGCCAUUCUCAGCCCGAUCACGCUCCAACGCGUCCCAUGCGGUGCGCUUGCAAACCUUUCCUGACAGGGGUGUGCCCCUCUGUCAGCCGUUUGUCUACCACCCAAAAAUCCCAACAGCUAUAAUUUGAAUCCAAAGGCUUGGUUUAACAGACCGUUGGUUGAUCCAACGGUCCAGAUUCAAAUUUAAUUUCUUUAAAUAUGUUAUUUUAAAAUACAUUGAAUUCAACGACUGAGUUCGAAUAUAAUCAAAUCUAACGGUAAAAAAAUAAGAUCUAACGGCCCAAAUUUAAAUCUAACGGCUAAAAUAAUUUAAAAAAAUUAUUUAACUCAAAAUUCACCCAAAAACUCUAUAAAUACCUAUGUAUUUGGUUAAACAUCCUCACAAAACUCAAUUUUCUCCCACAAUUCUUCCAAUUUAUCUUUUUACCAUUUCUUUCCAUUUCCAAAUUAUUCAACAUGACAAGAGAGCAUAUUAGAGGUCGUAAUUGGACCUGUGAGGAAGAUGUUGUUUUAUGCUUGGCAUGGUUUUCUGUUAGCGAAGAUGGUGGAGUUGGCACAAAUCAAAAUAAGAAGGUUUUGUGUGAUAAAAUCAUUGCAAAGUUUCAAGAAAACUGCAAUGGUGGCGGGCAUGAUGGUGGUGGUGUUUAUGAUCGAUGAAAGACUAUCAACAAAGCAUGUACUUUAUGGAAUGGAAGCUUGGAGAAAGCCGUGGUUAACAUGGCUAGUGGAAGGAAGGCCACAGAAAUUGUGAGUUUUGUUCUUAAUAUUUUAUUUGUCAUGUACAUAAUAUUAUUUUCCAACUAAGUAUUUUUAUGUAUUUUUUGCAUAAGGUGACAAAGCAAUGAGAAUUUAUAAGACAAGAGGAACACCAAAAAAUCAAGUUUUUAAGUUGCAACAUGCUUGGACGUCCUCAAGGAUUGUCUGAGGUGGAGAACCGAUGCAGACCAACAAUGGGGAAGAUUAUUUCAAUGUGAAGCCGCACAAACAAAUGCCAAAGAUGAAGGUGUCGAUGAAAUGACCCCAUCUCCUUCUUUUGCAAGGCCCCCGAGAAGAGAUAAGCAAAAGGAAGCAAAGAGAAAAGGGAAGUCCCAAGAUCCGAUGAGUGGACACUUUGGUACUAGAAUUGCAAAAUUGAACGAAAUCCAUAGCGCUUAUCAAGAAGAAACGGCCCGAAUGCGUUUGCAAAUGAAGGAAAUCUCAGAUAAGAAGCAAGAUAGGUUUGAAAUUGAAUUCAUGAUGGAGGACCUCAGCAAAUACACUCCAAAGAGGAAGUUCUUACGUGGUAAACAAAAUGAAAUUUUGCAAAAAUCUGCCUCAAGGAGUAUGUUUCAAGAUGAUGAAUCCUCUGAAUCCUACAUCCCAAGAUUUCAACGAAGUCCAUCACCAAGUGAAGAUGGUGGAUAUGAUUAUUAAGUUUAUGUAGAGUAUGAAUUAUGUGCUUUAUUAAUUGAGUUUAUUAAUUGUUGAUUGUAUUAAGUUGAUGUAGUUUAUUAAUUAUGUGGUUUAUGAAUUAUCGGUUGUAUUAAGUUUAUGUGGUCUAUGUAUUAUCAGUUGUAUUGUUUCUAUUAAUUUAGAUGUCUUCAAUAAUUAUUGUACUUAUUAUUCCACACUUUGAUGUAGAAUAGAUGCCUUCAAUAAUUCAACGUACUAGACAAAAUAUUUUGCACAAGAAGACACUUCAAUUUAUUACUAGAAAAUAACAACACAGUACACUUAAAAUUAAUCUAGAUGCCUUCAAUAAUUAUUGUAUUUAUUAUUCCACACUCUUCUAUAUCACGCUACAAAUAUGAACGUCCUGUGACAGAACCACGAUGGCUAGAUUCGCCAUGGUGAUCAGAUUGCAUAAACGAGUUGACAAGUUCAACUUUGGCGUUGAACAAUUCUGCAUCCUCAGUCUCGAUCCUUGCUUGGUAUUGUGCCAUCUGCAUUGUCAUGCUACGUAUUCUUCUAUCAUCCAUUGAUGAGAUAUUGAGGAUUUUUAGGAAAUAAAAACUCUUUGAAAGUUGAAAGAUUGGUGAAUAUAGAGGAUGAUUGAAGGUUGAAAUGUUGUGUGAUCAACAAAUAUUGGAUAUAUGUUUAUAUAGAGGAUGAUUGAUGAAAGUGAUGCGAAAUAUAUAAGCACACAAAUUUAACCCUCUUUUUGACAAUUGUAGUAUAGAUGUAAGUAGGGAUCGUUCUAAACCGGGGAUUAGGAGGGAUUGCUAAAUCACUUGAAAACUAAUUUAAAAACAUAAAAACAAAGUUAAAAAUGUAAACAAAAGAUUUUAAAACAAGAAAGUAAAAGGGGGAUUUGAGUUUGGUGAAGUUGAAAGUAAAAACGAAUAAACUAAAAACUUAAAUAGAUUUUAAACAAAUUUGGGUUGAAUGGAUAAUGGAAGGCUAGCUAAGGGGUUCUUCUCCACACAUGUCUUGCUUGCAUACAAAAUGAUUUCCAAUUGCAUUUCAAUAACUUAUUAAUUCUCAACGCCCCAAAUUAACCGUGAAUUGCACUAAUUAACCCUCAGUUUUUCCACAAGUUAUUGGGUUGGAUGAUUGCAUACGACAACCCAAAACAUUCCCUACAAGUUCCCUACAUGAAUUGCAUAAUAGAGAUACAAGCAAGAAUCAUUAAGUUCUAUGAAAAACAUAAGCAUUGACGAGGCACUCGUUACUAUGAUUUGCAUGAAACUUAUGCCAAGGAUUUACUUAACACAAUCGUGACUAGCGACUUUUACUACUCCUGAAUAUAAGUUCAUAACGAUUAGGUGAAAUUCCCUUAUACUCUAGCAUCAUAUUUAUGCAUGCAAACUAAGUAUGCAUCCCUAAUCAACAUACAUAAACAUGUUAUCAAUCAAAUAGAUAAGUAAAUCGAAUUCAUAACUUAUGAAACGCAAUUAAAAGUAAUCAAAUCAUAUUGCAAGCAUUAACAUAGUUUCGAAUCCCCCCCUAGCCAAGGGGGGUUUAGUUCCUCAUUAUUACAAAACAAAGAUAAACAAAUUUAAACAUUGAAAAACAAAGGAAAAGAAAGCACACCUAAACGUUCCAACGAUCCAUGUUGGAUAGCAAGUGCGUCUAAGGACUUUUCUCCUUCUCUUUGCCGCAACAACGAGGUUGGAAUGAUGUUGAAGGGUUGGUUAUUUGGAGGAAUGGAUGGGAAGGGGUUUAGAUAUGUAGGAGAGGCAAGGAAAGGCUUGGAGAAUGGUUAAUUUCUGGAUGAUUUGAAUGAGGUUGAUGCCAUGGUAUUUAUAGGAAGAGGAUGGACUUGUUUAACACAAAAUGUUGGUGGAAUUGAGUAGGUGAGCAUGGCAAAGAGUGGGAAUUGUUGGUGGGUUAGGUAUUGAGUCAUCCACUCACAUGUCAUGGUUAGCUAAGCAUUGCAUCAUCCACUCACAUGUCAUGGUGAGCUAAGCAUUGCAUCAUCCACUCACAUGUCAUGGUGAGUUAAGCAUUGCAUCAUCACUAAAAAAAUCUGGUGGAAGUAAAACAAAGGGAAGGCCACGGCAUUGAUGAAUUUUAUGGGGUAUGCAUGGUUUUGAGUGAAGUUUUGGCCAAUCCUUUUAGAAAUUUAUCCCUUCUUGCAACUUGUAUUUGUUUCACCAGAUUUUUAGCAUGUUCUUAGCCUCUUUUGUCUUCAAAUUCGUCCAUCCAUCUUGCUCAUAUCAUAUGUAAUCCAUUACAAGCUCAAAACUGCUCCAAAAUGCACCAAAAUGCACUUUCUUGCUACCUUAGCCCUUUGGACCUACAAACACACGAAAAUGGCUUAAAGUACUAAAAUAACUAAGAACUAAUAAUGUAAAUGCAAGAAAACUAGUUAACUAAGUCGCAUAAAUAUGCGUCUAUCAGAAAGUUGAAUGUUUGGUGAAAGUUGAAAGUUUGGUGUUGAACGGUUGGUGAAUUGAAAGUUAGCCCAUGAUUGAAAGAUUGGUGAAAGUUGAAGGCUUGCUUUGUGAAAAAUUUAGUGAUUUUUCAAUAUUUAUCGCAAUUUAAAUUUUUUUAAAUUAAAAUGUUCAUAAAAUUAAUUUACGAUAGUUUAUAUAUUUAUUUUUAAAAAAUUAAUUUAAGAAAAAAAUCGCCUAAGUUUAUUCUUUAAUAAUCCCGGACUAAAAUUUUAGGCCAUAACAGUUGGAGUAGGAAAACUGUUUCUGAGCUAAAAUAUUUGGCUUUUAGCCCAACCAUUGGAGAUAGUCUUAUUAGGACAAAAAGUAAUAAAACUUAUGUUUUGAAAACAAAUGUACCAAAAAUUCAAGGAAACUUUAAUAAAAAACUCCCGGUACUGUUUACUUUAACGAAAAACCAUAUUUUUACACUAAAAAAUCAAUUCUGGUACUAUUCACUUUAUCUUUUAUUUUGUCCUUAUCGUUAAAACUCAAAUUUUUCAAGUCAAUUUAAUUAAUUUUCCUAAAAUUCAAAUGUACCAAAAAGCCAAAUGAACCAAAAAUUCAAAUGUACAAAGUAACCAAAUGUACCAUUAUAAUUAAACAUACCAAUAUAACCAAACACACCUAUCAACGAGUUUUGUUACAUUCUAUUUAAUUUACUAAAAUAACUAUUUUAAUAAAAAAUAAAAAAAAUCUUAAAUCAUCAUAAUUAGAGAUACAUAAAAAUUGGAAGAAAAAAGAAAAUGAUAUCGUGAAUAGACUUUUAAUGAAAUAAAAUUAAGGGUAAAUUACAAAAAAGUACCUCAAUUGUUGGUGUCAUGACACUUUCAUACCUCAUCUUUUAAAAUUGACAAUGUCAUACCUCAUCUUACGAAUUUGUGCCAAUGUUAUACCUCCCGUUAGGGUUGGCGUGAAUUUCUCAAUUAAAUGCUGACGUGGCUUGAUCCGAGACCAAUUUUCUAUUAAAAAUUAAUAAAAUAUUUUUAAAAACUAAAAAAAAAAUUUAAUAUUUUUUAAAUAUUAAAAUUAAAAAAAAAACCAACACUCAGUCAGUUCGUCCCCUCCCCCCUUCUCUCUUUUCUCCCCAUCAUCAUCUUCUUCCCUCUUCCUGCAACUGCAACCCAGAAAAAAGAAGAGAAAAAAAAAAAACCAGUUUGUCUUCCCCCCUCCCCACCCCCUCUUCUCCCCGCACCCAACCUCCCCAUCUUCGCACCCAACCUCGCACCCAUUACCUGCAACCCAAAAAAAAAAAAAAAACCCACAUCCUGUUGAGGUGGAAUCAUGAAACAUUCGCCAGGCCGAUUUUGAAGGUUGAGAACCUGGGCGCGGAGAAAAUAGGGAGGAUGGGUGUGGAGGAAAGAGGGUGGGUGCGCGGCGAGGGGGGGGCAGACGAACUGGGUUUCCUUUUUAUUUAUUCUCUCUCUUCCUGGGUUUGUUUGGGGGGGGGACCUAGGUUGGGUUGGGUUUUUUUUUUCCUUCUUCUUCCUCCUUUUCUUCUUCUUCUUCUUCUUCUUCUUCUUUCUGGGUUUGUUGGGGGGGGGGGACUGGGUUGGGUUGGGUUUUUUUUUUCUUUCUUCUUCCUCCUUUUCUUCUUCUUCUUCUUCUUCUUCUUCUUCUUCUUCUUCUUUCUGGGUUUGUUGGGGGGGGGGGACUAGGUUGGGUUGGGUUUUUUUUUUUCUUCUUCUUCUACUUCCUCCUCAUUUUUCCUCAUUUUUUCUGGGUAGCAAGGGGUUGGGUUUGUGAUGGGGGGAAGGGGAUGAACUGGGUUUGGUUUGGGAUUUAUUUUUUCAUUCUUCUUCUUCUUCUGCUUUCUGGGUUUGUUAUGGGGGGAGCCUGAGUUGGGUUGAGGUUUUUUUUUUUUUAUUGUCAAUCCUUCUUCUUCUUCUUUCUGGGUUGCAGGACGAGAGAGAGAGAGAUAGAGAGAGAGAGGGUGGGGAAGAAUGAACUGACCUGAGGAUUUUUUUUUUUUACUUUUUUUAUUAUUUUAAUAUUUAAAAAAUAUUAAAUAUAUUUUUUUAGUUUUUAAUAAUUUUUUAAUAGAAAAUGAGUCAUGAAUUAAGCCACGUUAGCAUUUAACUGAAAAAUUUACGACCAAAUAACGGAAGGUAUAACAUUAAUACAAAUUCGUAAGAUGACGUAUGACUUUGUCAAUUUUAAAAGAUAAGGCAUGAAAAUGUCAUCACAACACUAGUUAAGGUAAUAUUUUGUAAUUUAUCCUAAAAUUAAGUAACAAAAUUGUAGAAAAAAUGUUUAAUCAAAUUUGCAAAAGGAAUAGACGUUUAGUUUAUAACAUUUAAAAAGUUUUGCCCAUGCUUCUCAUGCUUUCUCGUGGCUCUAAUGGCUCUAAUGGCUCUAAUUCAAUGGUUUCUCAUGCUUCUCAGCCUCCCGUGCACUUUGUUGCUGAUGUUACUCACUCUACUCCUAACGGCGAUGCCCGAAAGGCAUGCAAAAAUCUCUUGUCACUUGGAACAACGCAACAAGCCAAAGUGCGAGAUUUCCCCUACCACAUCGGAUGUUCAUGUAAACAUGCUACAAAUCCUAGUUUGCAGCAAUAUCAUUAGUCCACCACCCAUAAGAUGGAAGGGCAGAUUCCAAAGCUCUGGUAGUUUUACUUGCGACAAGUAAAAUCAUUGGGGCACAGUAUUACCGUGCUAAUGGUGUUUAUACCAUAUUUAGGGCCUCGUAUUUAGAUCUCGUACAAAUACUCAGGGGACUUAAAUGUAAUUAUGGGAUAAAGGAAUGGGCAAAUAUGUAAUAAGUGAGGAGUCCUUAUUCUAUAAAAGGACCCCUCACCCUCACAAUUGGGAGAGGCUCAUUCUCACCCUCAGAGGCCAUUUCUGAAGCCUCUCACCCCCUCUCAAAGCUCCUCACAUCCCCUAAGCUCUCUCUCCCUCUUCAACAGAGAAAUAUAAUACAAUCAGUGUGGACGUAGCCCAAACCUUGGGGUGAACCACGAUACAUCUUGUGUCAUUUACAUUUCUUGCAGAUUUACGAUUGGAUUUACGUUGUUCCAAGACCCCCGGUUUUGUGCAUCAACAUUUGGCGCCGUCUGUGGGAAUCGAUACGAAAAGUUAUGUCGGUUCUUUUUCAUUUUUUCAUCUCCAUCGUAAAUCUGCAAAAAUUUGCAAAAAACCCAGUAACAAAAAAGAUCCAGAUCUCAAAAUCACUCAUCUCUCUCUCUGGAAAACUCUGCAGUCUUAAGAAACCAUCCAAAAACCAAAAUCCCAAAUAAAUCUUGUCGCACCAGUGGUUUUCUCGGAGACUUCGCCAAAGAACAAGCCGCUUGAAUUCUCCAACAAGAUAGAAAUUGCAGUGUCCCAAUGACUACAAAAUGAGCGACCACAAGGUCGCAGCAGCACCACCUGCACCUGAUCACCCACUACCAUCAUUCGGAAGACUAAGCUCCACACCCUAAAGUCGAUCUCAACGAAGUCGCUCCACCUCCCCACUCUGAAACUCGGACCUCCACCUCCCUUCAACACACUUUGUCAGUCUCUCUCUAUCUCUCUGUAAGUGUACCCAUCAAAGCUCCCACUUCGAUCGAUUCAGCAUCGAUGAUUUCGAGGUAGAAGAUGAGGUCCGACCCGACUUCCCGUGCCCGUAUUCCUAUGAGGACUUCGACAUCGCGUCCUUGUGCUUCCAUCUCGAAGACGAGCCCUCCUGCGAAUCCACAACCACCUACUGCUCAGCCUUAUCUAAAAAAAAUAGUGGGUUUCAAUGGUAGGUUUCUGGGUUCUUGCAGAUCUGAUUUCAGGCAACAACAGGAGGCUCGGCUUCAGACAACAAUUUCUGGUAUUUAUACCAUCUAAGAAAAGCAGAUCUCACGAGUUUCGAUGGUGGUUGUAGAGGGAAGCAAUGGGUUAAAUGUUCAAGCUGCAGCGGCGGGUUCGAUCUCUAGGACAGCUUCGGUCGGUGAGGGGUUGAUAGAUCAAUUUCGAUGCGGGUGGUAGUUUGACAAUAGGUUGUUGCGCGGUGCAUGAAUACAAUGCAGCAGGCGUGCGACACAAAACGAGUACGAGUCAUUGUCGAAGUUCGAACAGCUACUUCGGCACUGAUUUCAGAUUGAAUCUUCUAGUACACGGUUAAUUAGUCAGUGUAUGUUGUUCUUGUUUUAGAUUUUUAGAGAGAGAAAAUUAUGGGAUCUGGAAAUGGGGUUUAUUUAGUUGGGGAUUUCGAUUUGGAUGCCUUGUGGUUAAUAGAGAAGAAAAUGUAUGAACUCUGUUGAACGCGUCUCGCCGAUCAGACAACAGGCAAAGGUUGAGGUUUGGUUGAUGUUGCUGGAGAUAAUAAGCACAAGGAGAACAAGCAAGAUUGUGGUUUGGAGCCAUUGAUAUUGAAAGGGGAAGAAGAUGAGAGAGCAUCGCCAUGCACUACCGUUAUCAGAGGACCCAGUUCCCGCCCCAUGGCCCCACCAAUUCCACUCCAUCUUGGUGAUGAACUACACUGGAACCCUCUAGCUCAUUGACCUCUAAGCAGAAAGAAGAUGCAAGAAACAGAGAACUUGAGUGCCAUCUGCACUCUGCAAAGUAAAAGCAAAAGCUAAAAGAGAAAGAUUAUACUUUUGCUUUUGUCGACGGAUGCAUGUUCCUAUUUUUUAAAAGCUAGAGAAAAGCAAAUGGGCGAUGUCGGAAAGGCUGUCCAAAGCAGCUGUCAUUUUAGAGCAAAGCAGAAAGCAUGGCUACCCGAGAUCUGCGGUGGAAAAGAGCAAAGCAGAAAAUAUGGCUACCCACUGAGAUAAUUACAAAAGUAGAAAAGAAAAGAGAAAAACAAAAGUAAGGAAUAAACAUCCUACCAGAAUGAUGUAAUUUAUAUUAUUUUCGGAGACAUAUGUAUAAACCCCAUCAGUGGGUAAUAUGUAUAAAACCCAUCAGAGGGUAAUCGUCAAAAAAAAAAAAAAAAAAAAAAAAAAAAAAAAAAAAAAAGGAAAAGCCCAAAACAAAUGGGCUGACAUGUUGUGGAAGGCGAAGACCCAUAAGCUUGAAAUAGCACCAACCAGGCGAAGACUCAUGUCAUUCAUACAUAAACAUUCAUGAGCAUCACUCAUGAUAAUCAUACAUAAACAUUCAUGACCAUCAUUCAUGUCAACAUUCAUGAGCAUCACUCAUGACAACAUCCAUGAGCAUCACUCAUGUCAAUCAACAUAAACAUUCAUGAACAUCACUCAUGUCAAUCAGCUUCAAAAGCUUCAUUUACAGAGCUCUAGCUUCAAAAGCUUCAUUUACAAAAAGCUCCAGUUUCGAAAGCUUCAUUUACAGAGCUAUAGCUUCAAAGCUUCACUUGCAAAGCUUCACUUACAAAGCUUCAGUGCAGGGUAUACAAAUACCACAUUCGAACAACCGCCACUUCGGCCUAUACAUAGAUUCAAUUUGAAGUCUCCAGCCAACAGCCUCUAUUGACUGAAGACUUGGGGGACUACAUUAUGUACCAUAUAUUGGGCCUCAACUGGGCCUCAUAAAAAAUACUUGGGAGACUCUAGCCCAUCACUUAUGUAUUGAGGAGCGAGCCCUUAUUCUAUAAAAGGGACUCCUUCACUUUUAGAGAGCACUCAUGAAAAAUACUUGAGGGACUCUAGCCCAUCACUUAUGUAUUGAGGAGUGAGCCCUUAUUCUAUAAAAGGGAAUCCCUCACUUUCAUUAGAGAGCACCCAUUAUUCAUGUACUGAGGAGUGAACCCUUAUUUUAUAAAAGGGACUCCCUCACCUUCAUUAGAGAGAAACGCCGCCAGCUGAGCAACCGCCUCGCCGUGAGCAUCAACUCUAGCCCAUCAUUUAUGUAUUGAGGAACGAGCCCUUAUUCUAUAAAAGGGACUCCCUCACCUUCAACACCACAAGCCGAGCCAACCAAGGCAAUAUAAGCCACAAGCCGAGCAACCUCGCAACAUGUGACAGUUGAGCAUCAUUUCAGAUUGAGCACCGCCUCAUAUCGAGCAUCAGUUCAAAGAUAACAUCUAGUUACUUCGGCCCACACAUGGACUGAAUUUCAAGUCUCCAGCCAAAAGACUCUCUUGACUGAAGACUUGGGGGACUACUGUUUAUACCAUAUUUAGGGCCUCGUAUUUAGAUCUCGUACAAAUACUCAGGGGACUUAAAUGUAAUUAUGGGAUAAAGGAAUGGGCAAAUAUGUAAUAAGUGAGGAGUCCUUAUUCUAUAAAAGGACCCCUCACCCUCACAAUUGGGAGAGGCUCAUUCUCACCCUCAGAGGCCAUUUCUGAAGCCUCUCACCCCCUCUCAAAGCUCCUCACAUCCCCUAAGCUCUCUCUCCCUCUUCAACAGAGAAAUAUAAUACAAUCAGUGUGGACGUAGCCCAAACCUUGGGGUGAACCACGAUACAUCUUGUGUCAUUUACAUUUCUUGCAGAUUUACGAUUGGAUUUACGUUGUUCCAAGACCCCCGGUAAUGGAUUUGACGUAGGUGAUGCCCAAUUUUCAAGAGACACUAUUGAAAAUGAAACUCAUAUUCAUGAAAAAAAAGAAAUUUUGCAUGAGUUUAUAAGAGAUUUGGCUACUCUCUAUAUUGCUAAUUGGUUUUGUAGUGGAAUCCCAACUUUUUUCAUAGUAUCAGAACAAGUUGUUCAACGUGUAAAGCCAAAUGGCCACACGGGCUCCAUGUCAUCCCGUUGUGCUGUCCACGUGUUAAGCUUGAAAAUUUGUCACAGGCACAGAUUUAAAUAUCGAUAUUAUCGGCGAAAUAUCGCCGAUAAUAUCGAUUUUUCGGGUAAUGGAUAUUUAAAUAGGUUUCCGUGUGGUUUUCGUCCAAAUAUCGCGAUAUUAUCGAUAAUAUCGAUAAUAUCGCGAUAUUUUGGAAAUAUCGAGAUAUUUCGUUGAACGGUGCAAUCGGACUCCGAUUUCGAACGCCGGAGAAGAACGCCGGAGAUGGUGUGGCUGUUCCCGAGCCCAUUUCAUCCCAAAAACCUUGCAAAAACACGAAUUUUAACUUCAAUUUCACAUAUAUGCUUCAAAUUUCACGCAUGCAUCAACGAUUCAACAUAUGAUGUCGGUUUAGGGCUUAGGGUUUCAAUGGAAUCUCACCUGAAAAAUCGAUGACUGGGCCAACUCCUUGCUCAGCGGCGCACCACCAGAGACGACUGAGCCAAGUCCGACUUCGCCAGAGCCACGAUCAACGGCAACGAAGGAUCGAGAGAGUGGGCGAAGGAUCGAGAGAGUGGGAGAAGGGGGAGAUCUGUGUGUGUGUGGGUCGAAUGGAGAAGGGGGAGAAGAGAGGUCAGGCCUCAGAGAAGAAGACCCCGGAGGCCCGGGAAACAACCGUCAUCGCCAACACGCGCAUCGACUGGAAGGAGACCCCGGAGGCCCACAUCUUCAAGGCGGACCUCCCGGGGAUCAAAAAGGAAGAGGUGAAAGUAGAGGUGGAGGACGGGAGGGUCCUGCAUAUCAGCGGCGAGAGGAGCAGGGAGCAGGAGGAGAAGACGAAGAACUGGAGAAGGGAGAAGCUCAGAAGUUCUAGAGAGAAGAGAAAGACAGAAGUUCUAGAGAGAGAAGGAUCCAGAGUGAGACUCUGUGGGCGUGCGUGGUUUUGGCUUUUGGGGGGGGGGGUUUUGUCUGUGACACACUGACUCACUGACUCUCUCUUCUGCGUGUGAUGUGUGGUGGUGUGAGAAAAAAAAAGAAUCCAAUGCAAUGAUCCAAUCCAAAUAAUUCAAAAUCAAAUAAAAAAACAUAUAAAUAAUUCAAAAGCAUCUUCAAAUAAUUUUGACAAGACACUCACUCUACACAUAGAGAUGAUGAAGAUAGUGAAAAAAUUGAACCUCAUAGGAACUCUAUGUGGUACUAAAGUGUAAAAUGUUGUACUAAUUCAUUAUAUAUAAAUGAUUAUGGUGUGUUUAGACUUCUUUCAUUAAUUACUACAUAUUUUUUACACUCACAAUGUUUGUCAGCUCGCUAUAUAAUCAACUUGAUAAUGUUAAAUCCAUCAUGCAAUGCAUUUCCUUCCAAUUUUUUGUGAUAAACUAAUAGAUAAUUGACUAAAUAAACAUCCUGCAAAGUUUCAAUAAAAAUUUCUAAGUUUUUCUUACAAUUUCCGUGGUUUCCAUGUAAUUUUUAUCGAUAUCGAUAUUUUACCGAUAUUUCCAUCGAUAUUUCCGUGUUUUCAGACUACCGAUAUUUCCGAUAUUACCGAUAUUUAAUACCAUGGUCACAGGUGAAAUCAAAGGAGGGACUUGCAUUAGCUUAUAAGAGGUUGAACUAUUCCCUAUAUUGCCAAUUUGUUUAAUUUUAAGGUGUGUUAUCCACACACCCUUUUUCACUUUUCACACACCUUAAUUUUUUGUCGUCAAAUUGAAUAAGUUGAAGAAGAUCAACUAAAUUAAUAAAGGAUGUCUGAAAAGUCCACACAUCCCUUAAUUUAUGAUGGAACCUCAACUUUCUUCAGACACCCAUGGCCAUGAGACUCACACUGCAUCAAUAGCAGCAGGGAACUUGGUCAGCAAUGCAAGUCUAACCAUUUAUGUUGGACAAGGAGUUUAACCAUUUAUGCUUAGUACUGAUCACUUCGGUUCUUUGGAUGAAUGUAUGUAUAGGUAUGGAUGGUGUGGUGUCUGUUUUCCCCAGUGAAAAGAAGAAGCUCCUCACAAGAACGUUAUGGGACUUUAUUGGGUUCCCGGAAAGAGAGUCGAGUAGCAACAAUCUUGACGAAAGCAAUAUCAUUGUAGGAGUGACUGAUACUGGAAUUUGGCCGGAAUCUGACCUAAAAAUGGGAAGGCACAUGACAAUCCUAAGCCAACAUUACUUGUAAUUUGUAUGGCAAACUAGUUUGUUGUCUGUUACUCCAAUCAUCAAUACAUCUAGAAUGUUUUUUUUUAUCAAAUUUGAUCAUGUGAAAUGAUGACUUUUGAAAACAUUAGGAAAUAGGAAAAGCCUAUAGUUUUCAAAUAAGGCUUUGGAUCUCAUCCGGAUCUAAAUUGUGGGGAUCAUAGGGAUCCUCAUAUCCUAACUAUUUAUCGUACAUCGUGCGACCAGAAAUCAUUUUAAAUUUUUUAUUUAAAAAUUAAACGCAAAUAGUACCUAACGAAAACUGAUCGCACGUUAUACGAUGAACGAUUAAGAUGUGAGGAUCCUUAGGCCAUCUCCAAUCGAAGGGUCCAGAGGGCCAGAUGGUUGAAAGUACCAAGAUGUUCAAUCUCAAUGACCUUCUCUUUAACUUUGUCUUGAACUUUCAGAUAUUCGAUGUCCAUUAGCCUCGAUGCUUUUGAUCUUCUUUUGGUACCUUAGAACUUUCUUUCAGAUAUUCGAUGUGAUUCAAUUAUUUGUCAAAUGAUUGUUUUUUUUUUUAAUUUUAUUUAUUUUUUUGAACAAAAAAUAUUAUCUACACUAAGAGGGAGAAGGGGUGCUUAGCCUCACAAUUGGCUAGCAAUAAUGUGAUUCAAUCAGUUAUUUAUUAAAUAUUAUUCUCUCUAUUUUUAAACACAUUUAAAACAUCUUAAGAGGUGCAUACCACCGGUGAUAAAAAAAAGGUCUUUCUGCCGGUUAUAAAAAAGGCAUUUUGCACGCGCAUAACAAUGUGAUUCAAUGACACACCUCGACUCGAAAUGUCCACUAGGACUCUGAAUCGAGCUGUGCUAGUGGAAGGUGACGAAGCCAUAAAGUAUAGUGCUGUGGAAAAUGUGAAUAAAUUUAAACCUAAAAGUGUUUAAACACAAGAGUGCGCUGUGAGCGGGAAUGAACUCAUUUCACACGCGACAUCAGAGCAUAAGUAAAGUACAGUAGUGUUGGUAAGGAUCAUACCCUCAAAGGUAGCCACCUAUACUGAGAUUCGCCAAGAAUCCUCGUCGAUAAGAACUUUCAGUAGCUAAAACCUGGCGGGGCAAAAAAACAAGGGUGAGUGAGCCUGAAAACAAAGUUUUAAUAAAAACAUUUUGAAAACGUUUUAACCCCUCGCUGUAAAAUUCGUAUAGUUUCUAGAAAUUAACACUACAUAUAUAUGUAAAACAAUGCACAAAGACAGUAAAAACCAAGUAUGAUCGUUUCAACACUAAAAUAUGUAAGCCAGGUGUGAAAAUCAAGGUAAAAUAAUAUGCCAGCUGGAGUCACCUAACGUGACCUGUAUGACUAAACCUAUAGCUCAUCAAACUAUGUCUGCACACGAGUUGAAACCACCUAAUGUGGUCUGUACGACAUGCUAGCUGUAAAUAAGUACGCUCAAGUGCUACGAUCUCGUGAAGGCUGUGCGAAUAAUCGCAGGUCACCUACGAGUUGGAACCACCUAUUGUGGUCUAUACGACAGGGAUGGCACCAAGCUUGGAUCCAAGGUGAGCGUGCGGUGCAUGAGGUGAACAUUACAUGAAGGACUGUGCCCUGACCUCGGGCGGGAGCACUAACACUAGGGUGCAGCAAUGAUGAGCUCUAAAUGCAUCUAUGCAUAACAAUGUGCAAUACAACCAAUACCAUCACAAUAUACUCACAUGAAGCUUACCUAAGCCUCUGCAGCAUCAAACGAUAUAAUGCAUAACAAUAGUAAUGAAAUACUAAAAAUAUAAUUCAUUCAUGACAUGGCAUUCAAAGCAUAGCUCAUAUAAAAGUGUUUUUGAAAACCGUAAAGCAUAUAUAUAAAUACUAUAAAAAGGAAGAAGACCCACUCACUUAGAGUCUGCGCUACAAUUCCCUAGCACAAACAUCGAGGCGUCACGAACGAUCGGCGCCUAGAACAAUUAUUAAACCACAUCUCAGAAUCCUUAUCAAUAGAACACAUAACUUACAUAAAACACAUCCCCAAGGAUGUUCUAGAAUGAUUUGAGACCCAUUGACCAAAAGUCAACCGUCGGUCAAAGAUUGACAGUAGGGUCUACAACCCUAGAUAAUUCGAUCUGGAAGAUCCGCACCUCAGAUUUUCCAAUCUGUAACUUCCAAAUAUCCACAUUAUGCUUCUAAAACAUCAUACUAAAGUUUUAUUAUGAUCCAACGGUUGGAUCUUCGCCAAUUACCAAAACCAAGUGGCGGUCGAAGUUUUAUUUUACGAACUUUCAAAUCCAACUCAGAAAUACCCGCACUUCGGAUUCCCGAUCUGUAAAUUCCUAUGGUCCUUAAAUAUUGCGUACUAUAAUGUACUAAAGUUUGGUGACGAUCCAACGGUCGGAUCGUCAAUUACUAUUCUAAUCAAAUGGCGAACCUUAAUGGAACUAGGUUCAAACCACAUAAAUUCGUCAAUUAGACUUCACAAAUGGAAUCAGGGUAUUCAAAUUUAGCCUAGGAAGGUUAGGAGACGUCUCUGCCCACACGCUGCCGCACGUGCCACCGCAAGUGGCGAUUGGCCGCCCCGACUCGCAGGAAAAAUCAACUAUUUCUAAAAAUUACCAAAUUUUACAAAGAAGUAGAUAUCAAUAAGGGGAACAAUUUUCAUACCUGUGGCCAAGUCCAAUUUGAUCGGGAAACACCUGAAAUCCACCUCGAUCCGCGGAAACCCUUGAAAUGGGUGUUCUUGACUCGACUCCAAACAAGCUCCGACGACUCAACCAUUGUUUAGGCUUUGUUCCUGUGGUUGAGGGGAGUCUAUUGGUGGUGGUGGUGGUCGACAGGAUUAACUUCAAAUUUUGACGAUUCGAACCCAAAACCGCCACACCCCACCGUGCAGGUUCUCCCAAUAUCAAGGCCAAAUCCCUUGAUUUUUUGGGUGUAAUAGGAAGGGGGAAGGUCAUGAAGGAUUUUCCAAGUGGUGGUUUGAUGAAAUUUUCUGGAAAAAGGACGAUUCAUCGUUGAAAAACCUCCCAAAAAUGGGUCGGGUCACGAGUUAAGGGGAGGGUCCGAUUCUCUCUUUCUUUUCUCCCUCAUUUCCUUUCCUCCUGAUUGGCCGAUUCCCUCCCUCCUUUCUCUCAUUUCUCUUCUCUCCUUCUCAUCCCAACCGUCUAUUUCUUCCUUCCCUUUUCUUUUCCUUUCAUCCCAGCCACACACAUGGCAUUUCACAUGGCUUCAGAUUUUCUGGAGCUUUCUAAAGAAGAUUAAAAUUACCAAAAUAUCCCUAACUUUAAACGUUAAUAUCUCCUUUGUUGUAACUCCAAAUUACGUUCCGAUUGCGCCCACACGUUCGUAACGACAAAUACUACGAGGAUAUGUUAAGAAAAUAGAUCUUACAUGACAUGACAAGGUAGUAAAAAAAAAUCAACGUAUUUUCCUCGAAGGGCAUUUCCGUACAUUCACUCAUUAAAAUUACAAAAAAACUGUAAAAUUGGAAAUGGGUCGUUACAUUCAAUUAGUUAUCAAAUGAUCGUUUUUUUUAACAAACGAUAUUAUCUACACUAAGGUGGAGAAGGUGAGCUUAGCCUCACAAUAGGUUAAUGUGAUUCAAUCAGUUGUUUAUUAAAUAUUAUUUUCUCUAUUUUUUAUGUAAAUUCAAUAGAAUGUAGAUGAAAAUUGAAAGACUGAUUUUAUUAUGUGGAUUUAGCUGCUUUGAUUGGUUUGUGAGGGGUUUCUUAUAGCGUUGUCUAAUAUUAUUCAUUUAGUCCAAAUAUUUGACUUUCUUUUUGUCAUGAAAAUAAAAAUAUUAAAGCAAUUCACGUAUAUAAAUGCAUUUAAAAUGUGUAAGUAGCGCGCAGGACACCGUGAUUCAAAUAUGCCUUCUGCACGCGCGUAAGCGCUUGCAUGAAGGCUAGUGAUACGAAAUGAAAGGACAAGUUUGAAAAUAGACUAUUCAAUAUUUGUGGAAAUCUUUAUUCAGUAGAAUAUCCAAUAGUUCUCAUUCUCCAAUGCAUCUACCAUUUCAUCUCAAAUACAAAGAAAGGUAGGUCUACAAAUAACAAUCAAAGGGAGUACAAAAGGUGACCAAAAUAUAGCCACAUUUUCAAUUAUACAUGAAUUAAAAUUUCCACAGAAUGUGUUGACUUCAUGACUUAGUAAUUUAAAGUCUUGGUCCUUGGAAUGAUUAGAUAGAAAACUAUUUUGGGGACUCUUAAAUUUUGGGACCCUGUGCCAUGGAACCGGUAGGUCCCCCUCAAUAUCAGCUCUAAUUAUGAAUGGAUGUUUAAUCAUAGGUAAGGAAUGAUAGGGAAAAAAGGAAAACGAAAGUAAAGAUGUAAUGUGAAAUUUGUUAGGGUGGCUAGCAAACAAUUUCAUGAAAAUAAAGGUAAAAAAAGAAAAAGAAAAAAAGGAACGUCUAGAAUUGAACUUUUAAUAAAAUGAAAUUAAUCAAAACUGGACGAAAAUUGUUUAACCAAAUUCUUAAGGGGAGUUUUAACGAAAGUCCGCGGUACUGUUUACUUUAACGAAAAACCACAUUUUUACACUAAAAAGUCAAACCUGGUACUUUUCACUUUACCCUUUAUUUUGUCCUUAUCGUUAAAACUCAAAGUUUUCAAACCCUUUUUAUUAGUUUUCCUAUUCUUAAAAGUAAUAGAUGUUUAAUCACCAAAAUUAAAAAACAACGCGUUUAUAUCAAAACGCCCCCAAACUAUGUAAAAUAAUCAUGGGAGCACACCAUACCCCUAAGAAUAAAGAGAAAUUGCAACACGUGAAAUGCAUGGCUUUUCAUUUUUAGUAUAAGCAGGGCUGUCUCUGAAAUUUCGGGGAUCCUAUGCAAAUUUAUAAAAGGGCCCUUCUUAAGAUAAUAUUAAAAAAACUUCGUGGUUGUUUUUCUUUAACAAAAAAACCUAUCAAUAACUCGUUUUUUAGACGAGUCAAUUGUUCAACUUUUUUUUCUUUGGCGUUUCAAGUAGCCACAUAAAUAUUUUUUUAGUAGGUGUUAUCUUUUAUAUCUCAAACAAUAUCAUAAUUACAUUAUACUAAGCAUAUACAAUAAAACCUGAUAGUUCGCAAUGCAUGUGCGUCUAGUGGUUUUUGUUUACUGCUCCCCUCUUGCUAUGACAAUUACUUGAUUAAUUUUUAUGAGUUUUGCCCUAAAAAGUACAAAAGGAAAAAAAUAUCAUUAUUAAUAAAAAUACCUAAAUCUUCUAAUUCCAACUUAAUAUACUUGAACUAGUAAUACCUUAUUUUAAUCGAAGUCUACACCACUCUGACCACUUCAAUUGUCUUCGUGAUUUGGAAAAUUUUCUUCAAUGUUAGGAAAUUUUGAAUUUAGGGUUUAAUGGUUUGUGUAAAAAAAGUGGUGAGGAUGGGAGAUACAUGGGAAGUGGGAGAGGGGGCGUCUGGAUGAGAGAGAGAAGUGGAUCAUGACUCUUGGAGUGAGAAUUGAGAAACAUUAUGAAUAAUAUCAUUAUUUUAUAAUUUUUAUAAAUUUUUUUAUGAUUUGAUGACUUAUGUAGGCAUUCAUGUAGCUUGUGGCUUGUGGGCCCACUAGGAUUUUUAUAUCUUUUAUGUGGUUCUGAUUAGCCUUUUUAUUUAUAUAAAUAAUAUAAUAUUAUUUCAUAAGAUAAUCGAUUAGAUAGAAAACGGAAAAAUUAGUAUUCGGUCCCUAGUUCUUACUGUUCAUUGACUAAGACCUUAUUAAUUCUUAAAUUUUGAUUCAAGUCCCUAGCAAUAAUGUGAUAAUGAAUUUACAUGUUUAUUAUAUAAUUUUUUAAUAUAAAAAUUAGUAAUUAAUUUAGGGUUUAAUACUCACACCUCUACUAAACUUCUAAUUAAUUUUCAAUUCAAACAUUUCCAAAAUAAUAAAAAAUUAAAUUAAAUUAAGUUUGUACCUAUUAGUUUUUUUUUAUAUAUAAAAAGAUUCUCAAUUUUUUAAUCUUAAAUGUACCCAUUCAUAUAAUUUUUCAAUUUUUUUAAUCUUAAAUGUACCCAUUCUCAAAUAUAUCAAUUUGUUAUAUGUCAAAUGUACCCUUUUUUUUUAAUAUAAAAUCCAUUCAAAAAUUUUAAUCCAUGUUUAAACUUAUAUGGGUACAUUCUUUUUUGUUGAUUUGAGAAUGUAUCCAUGUUUUGGUACAAUAACUUUUUUUGUUAAUUUUGGUUAAUGUACCCAUACAUAUAUGUAUAUACACACACACACACACACAAUAUAAUAGAGAGUAUAAUUUAUAUUUUAUUAUUUUAAUCCCAUAAAUUAUGGGUUUUAUUUAAAAUCUCUUUAAUAUAAACAAUUACAAAUUUUAAAUUUUAAUUUUUAAUUUAAAAAAUAUAGUAAUGUCAGGGACCUCAAUAAAAAACUAAAAUCUAACAAGAUUUCAAUCAAAGAAUAUUGAUAGUUAGGGACCGCAUCCAAAGUGUCUCGAUAGAAAACUAUUUUGGGGACUCUUAAAUUUUGGGACUGUGCCAUGGAACCGGCAGCUCCCCCUCAAUCUCAGCUCUGAUUAUAAAUACAUGAUGGUGUUCUUGGAUGAGAUUCUCCAUCUUUUACAUGCUUUCUAGAACUUCGCUACAAUGGCUUUAACCCCAUGGUUUCUCCUUCUCAUCAGCCUCAUAUCUACUCUGCCAGUUGAUGUCACUCUAUCUGCUGCUCACCAGGAUACCCGGAAGGCAUUCAUAAAAUAUGCAUUUUGAACAAUUCCGUUUCUCUGCUCUAAAUAUGUUCAUUAAUUAAUUUAAUCUUCUGAUCUUGGAUAUAUUAACUGCAGGAUUAUAUUGUGUAUAUGGGUGACAAGCCAAAGCCAGAGGUUUCCACCACUACCACAUCAGCUUUUCAUGUAAACAUGCUACAAAACGUCAUCGAUGACAGGUUUAAUUAAUUAUCACAUAUGAUAGUGAGCUUAGUUAUAUAUACUGAUCAGUGUUUUAAAAUACUCGCAUCGAGGGCCUUAGUGGGUGGCUUGCCGUCUCUAUUUUGUGGGAGACGGCGAAAAACUCGGAUAGCUUCGUCGGGGCGUGCCUCAGGAUGUUUGAUUUGGCGUCAGUUUUGUUUAAAGGUUGUCGAAAUCUGAAAAAAAAAAAUUGAUUGAAAUCUGGGUUUUGUUUUCAGUUGCAUAGCAGUCUGAAGAAGAUGAAGAAGACCUCAAAAAUUGAUUGAAAUCUGGAUUGAAUUCUGGAUUUUUCUUUUUUUUUUUAUAUUAUUUUUUUCACUUUAUUAACCGCUGUUAAAUCAUAUCUUUUAGCAUAUUCUAUUUUGUAAGUUUUUGUUUUUUAUAUUAUUUAAUAGAUAUUAAAAAAAAUAAAAGAUAAACAGAGAAAAUAUUUUUAUUUUUAUGAAGUAUAUAGACCUAAAAAAACCUCAAAAGUGUUGGGUUUUAAAGAGACUUCACUACUUUGGAGAUAAACAUCUCCAAAGAAGAAUGUAAUGCAGCGGAAAUUGAUAGGCAAGAGAAAAAGAACACUCAAGGUAUAACACACAAAAACCUUUUAUUCUCACACAAACUAAUACAAGAGGAAUCACUCAAAACACUCUUAGAAGCUAUGGAUGCUUCUUCUACUUAUUCUCUUUUCUUUUAGGUAGAGAGCCUUCUUGUCUCUCUUACUUCUUCUUCUUUCUCUUUUCUUCACUUCUCAUUCUUAAACAUAACAACAUACUCUAUUUAUAGGCAAGUAUAACCAACCAUACCAAGUGUGAAUACCAAGUGUGAAAUCAUCCUAGCCAUUAUUCAUGACUCUACUAAAAGUAGCCCACCACCA
rnacentral:lncRNA from 1 species